CCUACGGGAGGCAGCAGUGGGGAAUAUUGGACAAUGGGGGCAACCCUGAUCCAGCCAUGCCGCGUGUGUGAAGAAGGCCAUCGGGUUGUAAAGCACUUUCAGUGAGGAAGAACGCCUGGUGGUUAAUACCCAUCAGGAAAGACAUCACUCACAGAAGAAGCACCGGCUAACUCCGUGCCAGCAGCCGCGGUAAUACGGAGGGUGCGAGCGUUAAUCGGAAUUACUGGGCGUAAAGCGCGCGUAGGUGGCUUGAUAAGCCGGUUGUGAAAGCCCCGGGCUCAACCUGGGAACGGCAUCCGGAACUGUCAAGCUAGAGUGCAGGAGAGGAAGGUAGAAUUCCCGGUGUAGCGGUGAAAUGCGUAGAGAUCGGGAGGAAUACCAGUGGCGAAGGCGGCCUUCUGGACUGACACUGACACUGAGGUGCGAAAGCGUGGGUAGCAAACAGGAUUAGAUACCCUAGUAGUC
rnacentral:rRNA from 1 species